rnacentral:rRNA from 1 species
GACGAACGCUGGCGGCGUGCCUAAUACAUGCAAGUAGAACGCUGAAGGAGGAGCUUGCUUCUCUGGAUGAGUUGCGAACGGGUGAGUAACGCGUAGGUAACCUGCCUGGUAGCGGGGGAUAACUAUUGGAAACGAUAGCUAAUACCGCAUAAGAGUAGAUGUUGCAUGACAUUUGCUUAAAAGUUGCAAUUGCAUCACUACCAGAUGGACCUGCGUUGUAUUAGCUAGUUGGUGAGGUAACGGCUCACCAAGGCAACGAUACAUAGCCGACCUGAGAGGGUGAUCGGCCACACUGGGACGGAGACACGGCCCAGACUCCUACGGGAGGCAGCAGUAGGGAAUCUUCGGCAAUGGACGGAAGUCUGACCGAGCAACGCCGCGUGAGUGAAGAAGGGUUUCGGAUCGUAAAGCUCUGUUGUAAGAGAAGAACGAGUGUGAGAGUGGAAAGUUCACACUGUGACGGUAUCUUACCAGAAAGGGACGGCUAACUACGUG